GACGAACGCUGGCGGCGUGCCUAAUACAUGCAAGUAGAACGCUGAAGAGAGGAGCUUGCUCUUCUUGGAUGAGUUGCGAACGGGUGAGUAACGCGUAGGUAACCUGCCUUGUAGCGGGGGAUAACUAUUGGAAACGAUAGCUAAUACCGCAUAACAAUGGAUGACACAUGUCAUUUAUUUGAAAGGGGCAAUUGUUCCACUACAAGAUGGACCUGCGUUGUAUUAGCUAGUAGGUGAGGUAAUGGCUCACCUAGGCGACGAUACAUAGCCGACCUGAGAGGGUGAUCGGCCACACUGGGACUGAGACACGGCCCAGACUCCUACGGGAGGCAGCAGUAGGGAAGCUUCGGCAAUGGGGGCAACCCUGACCGAGCAACGCCGCGUGAGGGAAGAAGGGUGUCGGAUCGUAAAGCUCUGUUGUAAGUCAAGAACGGGUGUGAGAGUGGAAAGUUCACACUGUGACGGUAGCUUACCAGAAAGGGACGGCUAACUACGUG
rnacentral:rRNA from 1 species